GCGUAGCAUCAGCUAGUUGGUGGGGGUAAUGGCCUACCAAGGCGAAGACGCUUAGCUGGUCUGAGAGGAUGAUCAGCCACACUGGGACUGAGACACGGCCCAGACUCCUAUGGGAGGCAGCAGUGGGGAAUAUUGGACAAUGGGCGCAAGCCUGAUCCAGCCACGCCGCGUGAGUGAUGAAGGCCUUCGGGUCGUAAAGCUCUGUGGGGAGGGACGAACGGCGCCAUGAAGAGUGGCGAUUGACGGUACCUCCUUAGCAAGCACCGGCUAACUUCGUGCCAGCAGCCGCGGUAAUACGAAGGGUGCAAACGUUGCUCGGAAUCAUUGGGCGUAAAGCGCACGUAGGCGGCUUUCUAAGUCGGAUGUGAAAUCCCUCGGCUUAACCGAGGACGUGCAUCCGAAACUGGGAGGCUUGAGUAUGGAAGAGGGUCGCAGAAUUCCCGGUGUAGAGGUGAAAUUCGUAGAUAUCGGGAGGAAUACCAGUGGC
rnacentral:rRNA from 1 species